CAUGCUGUCACCUCUCACUGUGACCCAGUCCUAGCCAAUGCCACAUAAGAAGGACCAAUGCUAGGGGCUUCUAGGAAUGAUUCCUCACUUCUAGAAAGAAAUUUUUAAAAUGAGGUGGCCUUUCUUCUGCAAGUAGCUAUUGUCCUGCUGCAGUGUGAGUUCUAAAUUUGCUUCAGCAGCCUCCACCCAGCCCAAAGAUAAUAUCAAUACACAGAAGAAGAAGAGUCAGGAGACGAUGAGAGAAGUUCUGGACUCCAAGGAACAACACUCAGAGCUUGCCUUCCCUCAGACUUCUUGUUAUGGAUUAGUCAGAAUAGAUGAAAACUGAUGAGUCAUCCUGAGAGCAUGAACCCCAGUGGAUUGUAGGGGUUGACUACAGUAUUGAGAAAUAUUAAAAUAACAAAAAGUACAGAAGAGGCAGGGAUCUCAAAAAGUGCUCAGUGGAACCACCACUUAUUGUGAGUCAACAUUCAGGACACAGUUGUUUCUUCAGACAGAGUUCACUCUAUGAAAACACUAUGAGCAAGACUUCCUCGCCCCCAUGACCUGGUGUUGUGUCUGAUCACCCCAACAUUCCUGGCUGCCCAAUGUGGGGCAAUGAAGACCCCAGUGAAGGAAUGCUAGAGUGUGUGAAAGUGGAGGACGCAUCGUCAAAGGACACCUGAGGACGUCUCAAAGAAGCUCGGCGGGAGAGCUGAGCGCUCGGAAGAACCAAGAAUCAUCUCUUUUGAAAAAUCGAUUCAUCAAAUGAAUCUUCAGCCAACAACUGUUCAAGAAGGAUGCAAAUAUCACAGUGUUAGAUGAACUUUCUGGUUGACACCUGACAGGAAGAGCCUCUGUAUUGGACCACCAUGUUUGUGCUCACUGUGUAGUAACAAACCAACACACCAAAAUAGCGGGAGUUGCCACUGACAAAGAGUUGAAUGAUCAAAUGACGGCCAAAGGAGGAGGUAGGACGCAACCUCAAAUUCACUGCCCCAAGGAGUUUUAGAAUGGGGUUUUCAAGGGACUUUUGGCAGA